ACGUUUUUCACGGGCUAGCGCUCCCCCACCUCGAGGGUCCAGACGCCGCUUCCCCGUCCCUCCGCCUCUCCACGGCGCUCCGCUCCACCACCAGGCACGCCCUCUCCUCUCCCCGUCCAAGCGUCGCCCCCGCGCCUCCCCAUCGGCAAUGCCUCUCUAGCUCCCCAUCCCCGGUGCUCCUCAAGCAGGCGCUCCGCUCCUGUCCCCGUCGGCAGCUGCCUCUGCAUCAACCGCGGUGUCUCCACCUCGUCUUCCUCCUCUACUACUCCGGCAAUCUCCGUUGCAGUACCCCCAAGUACCUGUGCCUGUGGCCUCCCUCCCCAAGCUCGUUGCUCCAACAAGAUCAACAAGUACAACGAGUACAGUCCUUGAAUUUUUGUGGAGAGUGUAAGAAUGCAGCGAUCUGGAUUUGUGAUGCAGUCUUGCACUCUCCACAAUUUUGAUCUGGACUUCUUACAUUAUUCUUGUAUUGGGCUGGGACGGAGAUCUAUAUUCCAAUUUUGAUCUGGACUUGGAUUGGUCUAUCAUGGUAAGAAUUUGACCAUGGUUGAUGUUGGCGUGAAGGAACACUCAUGUGUUUCAUAAGAUGAUCACGGCAUAGUGUAGUAGCCAUUUGUUCUCAUGAAUCGUCCAUGACCAGAACUCCAGUAGGCAAGGUAGGAUAUGCAGGCCCAAAAUAAUGUUAGCUUUCUUUCUUUUUUUUGUAAAGUUUCACUUAGUAGUUUCUCAUGUAUAUGCUUACAAUCGUAUAUAUGAGUUCCAGGUUUUCAACUUAAUUAGUUCAGAUUAUUUUUGAAUGGCAUAGGAUAAUAGCUUUUGGGUUCGUAUGCUAGGUAAGGUUUGGGCCAAAUUUUGAGAAAGUGAGCAUUAAUGUAGCUCAAUAUAUCAUAAUUUGAGCCUAGUAACUUAUGAUUUGUGCUAGCAGCAUGUGAAACAUAAUAUAGUACCUGGGUAUCAUUUUUAUAUCUUUCCCUCAAUUUGUCAUGUGCUGUGACUUUCUAUAGGUGGUUUUGCAAUACUGCGAUGCAAUGUUUUUCAUUUUUAUUGUCCUUGGAGGCUAGCUAGCAGAGCCCUGUAACUUUGUAAGUGCUUAUUUUUUUUAAAGCCUUGCUGCUUUGCUUCUUCGUUAUGCUAAAUUAAGCUUGAGAGAAAAGGGUUGAAAAAAAUAAGUGAGGGUCUGGUAUAGAUAAACAACGGAGCAAAGCAAAGGACAACCAUGGCUGAACAAAGAUGAGGUCACUGACUUUCUUUCGGUUCAGAUUAUUCUUCUCACAUCAUAUCGUGCGAAGAGAUUUCAACUAGGCUCUUUUGUUACUUUCCCUUUUCACCUGUGUCGUUUAUUAUUGUUCAUUUAAUAGGAAAUGGACUAAUCUUGCUGCAACGAGGGCAAUAAAAUAAUCUUGAAUAAAUAGAGCUUACUAGUGAGCGUUGUUGCUAUUGUGUGAUCAACAUUGAUCUUAAUUUUGUUUUAUUGUUUACUUGUUGCAUGCGGCUAUUCAUUUUUUAAAGCUAUUGUCAAAAAUUGUAUAGUCUUGCAAUAUGUAUGAACCAUGUCCUUGUCUGCAACCAUGUCCUUGUCUGCUUCUUAAACUUCUUACUGGAUUUAUUUUAGAAUUAUGUGGCUACUCUACCUAUUAUUUUUUAGUAUGAUGUCUGCAAGUGUCCACCUUUUAAUUUGGAUGUUCAUGUCAGUCACGGCAUGCCCAAUUGCUUAACUAACAAGAUUGUUGUUUGUCCUGCUGUUGCCUGCACGAGAACGACACCAAGGAGAAGAGGAAGGUGCUAAAAGCAGUUUAUGCUAUCCCUGGUAGCUGAGGAGAAGAGGAAGGUGCCGGAUCAAGAGCAAGUUGUAGAGCGUUGGUUUCAGCCAAGAGAGAAUCAGUGAACAGUGAAUGGUGGAAGAAUAUGAAUAGGAGAAAGCAUGUUGGAGGGAAAGUCCUUGGCUUAUUUUACUAGCUAAAUCUCUUAUACAAUAAUUAGAUUAUGCGGCCACAGUUGAGUUGAAAGCAUUGUAGUUAAUUAAGUAGAUGCUUAAAACAUGCAAAGAGCAUCUGUUCAUUUAGUCCAGCUGGAUGCGAAUGUAAUUUGGUGAUUGAUGUUGCUUGUUGACCUUGUAGACAUGUUACGGAUUUUAUUUAUCAAGUUGCUAUUUUUUAUUUU